AUUGAACGCUGGCGGCAUGCCUUACACAUGCAAGUCGAACGGUAACAGGUCUUUCGGGAUGCUGACGAGUGGCGAACGGGUGAGUAAUACAUCGGAACGUGCCUAGUAGUGGGGGAUAACUACUCGAAAGAGUGGCUAAUACCGCAUGAGAUCUAUGGAUGAAAGCAGGGGACCUUUGGGCCUUGUGCUACUAGAGCGGCCGAUGGCAGAUUAGGUAGUUGGUGGGAUAAAAGCUUACCAAGCCUACGAUCUGUAGCUGGUCUGAGAGGACGAUCAGCCACACUGGGACUGAGACACGGCCCAGACUCCUACGGGAGGCAGCAGUGGGGAAUUUUGGACAAUGGGCGCAAGCCUGAUCCAGCAAUGCCGCGUGCAGGAUGAAGGCCUUCGGGUUGUAAACUGCUUUUGUACAGAACGAAAAGUCUUGGGUUAAUACCCUGGGAUCAUGACGGUACCGUAAGAAUAAGCACCGGCUAACUACGUG
rnacentral:rRNA from 1 species